rnacentral:lncRNA from 1 species
GUGCCACGGACCGCGAGGGGGGCGGGGCUUCCUGGGCCAAGGCCCGCCCUGCCCGCCAGGAGGAUGCUAGGAGGAGGUGGGGCCAGUUUCUUGACCAAAACACCACCCCUCAUGACGCCAACCAAGAGGAUUCUGGGAAGGGAGAGGGCCCGGCCUUUGAUCAAGGCACUCAAUUUGGCGCCAACCAAGAGGCCCAAGAGGAUGUUGGGAAGGGACAGGACCAGCCUAUCAACCCAGACAUCCAUGGCGCCAACCAAGAGGAUGCUGGGAAGGGGCGGGACCAGCUCAUCAACCAAGGCACCGAAGCUAGCGCCAACCAAGAGGAUGCUGGGAAGGGGCGGGGCCAGCUCAUCGACCAAGGCACCGAAGCUGGCGCCAACCAAGAGGAUGCUGGGAAGGGGCGGGGCCAGCCUGCCAGCCAUGUUGCCCUGCCCCCUGCCAGCCAGGAGCCCGAGUACAAGUCGUGCGCGGAGAUCCGGCGGGCCUGGCGGGAGAAAGAGCGGGGGGCGGCGGACGCCCUGGGAGCACGCACCCCCCGCAUGAAGCAGGGCAGCAAAGGGCCGGCGGCCGCCCGCGAGCCCCCACCGUUCCUGGAGCCCCUGUGGAUUGUGGAGGAAUCGGAUCUGGCUGCCCCGCCCCGGCUGUCCCGUGGCGACGCGGUCCCUCGUGCCAAUGGUGUCCCGCCCGCCGGCUACGCCCCCCUGCCAGGGUUAUAUGAGGACACUGCCCCUUGCCUGCUGGAGAACUCGGAGCGGAUCCUCAGCAAGGUGCAAGCCCUGGCGCGGAUGUACAGCGAGAAGAUCAGCCGGGCCAAGACGGCCCGGAGGCCGCAGGACGGGCCGCGCCGCCCGGCACCCAGCAGGAUGGGCACCCUGGAAAGCCUGCGGGAGGAGAUGCCAGGGCCCUGCCUCCCUCGCUGCGAACCCCGGCUUUACGGCCACGUGCUCAUCCGCGAGCCCCCCCUGCACGUGAACUGCGUCCAGGAGAACGUGCUGCUGGUGGCCGCCGCCCGAGGGAACGCCCUGGAUCUGCGCAGCGACCGGCCUGCACCUCUCCUGGCUUCCCGGUGCCUGGGUUCGCCCCCGGCAGAGGAGCCGGGAGCCGCCCGGCAGGAGCCUCCCCCCCCGCUGGUGGAAUCGCCCGCGAAGCUCAGCGGGGACCCCCCGAGCCCAGGCGAUCCGGUUGGGGAAGCCCCCGUCAUGGACAGCUCUCCCCCGCCGGCUCCUGACGCUACCAGUGGAACUGGCACGACACCCGAAGCCAGGGACUUUGAGGGAGCCGGGUGCCCGUCGGUGCCAGGCUGCCGAGCCGAGCUGGCGGUCUGCGGGCGCCGGGGUGAGCCAAGCGCCAGGGAGGUUUCUGCGGAUACAGCAGCCUCCUCUCCCUUCAGGGAAGCGGCCCCGAGCCAGCAGGCGUCAGAGGUGACCGGGCUGGUCCCAGCCGCCUCCCCCAGCCCUGCGGCGGAACGGCAGCCUGCGUGUGUUGGCACGUCCACCGAGCCCGACCCGCUGGGGCCGGGCCCCUCCAUCCCUGGCGCUGGCCCCCCGGAGCCGGCGGGGGAGCAGAGCGGGCCCGUCGCCGUCCUGCUGCCAGAGGAGCGAGCCCUGGCUUUGGGCAGGGAUUCCCGGCCUGGCACUGAGGAGCUGCUCCCCCAGCCAUCGCCGGGGCCCGUCCGCUGCGGGACUGGAGAGGCGUCCCUGUCUCCCGCGCCGGACCCCGUCCCGCCGGCGGCGCCCUCCAGUGCUGCGGGAUCCCCGUCUCCGCUCCACAGCAACGUCCUGCCCCUGGCAGCUCUGCCGUGCCGGGGCACCUGCCUGCCUUCCCGGGCCACGGGAGUGGCACGCCCGUCCCCGGAGCUGUCCUCAGCUGCAGCUGCCCAGCCCAGCCGCUCCGUGGCCCGGUCGGCUCCCGCUUCGCCCAGCUCCGGCCCCCUCCCGGCUCUGCCGCGCCUCCAGACCUCCUCCCCGGCACACCGGCGCCUCUCCUCCAGCGCCGCGGCCAUCUCCAGGUACAUCGCCGCCUCCUGCAUCAGCCAGAGCCUGGCCAAGAGAAAUGGUGCCCCCUCGGGGCCACCUGGCACCCAGCCACCGCUGGCAGAGACCUCGGCACCCACCAGGCCUCUGCCUCCCUGCUCAGCCAUCCCGAGACCGUCCUCCUGCCCCUUGGGGCCACCUGGCACCCAGCCUCCGUCGACAGAGACCCCGGCACCCACCAGGCCUUUGCCUCCUUGCGCAGCCGUCCUGAGACCAUCCUGCCCCUUGGGGCCACCUGGCAUCCAGCCUCCAUCGACAGAGACCCCGGCACCCACCAGGCCUCUGCCUCCUUGCGCAGCCGUCCCAAGACUGCCCCCCGGCCUCUUGGGCUCCAGAGCUCCAGCCCCCCCAUCUGCUCCAUUCCCCAGUGAGAAGGCCAACGCCUGGUCCCAUGGUACCAGCAAGCGGGACCCUUCCCAGCUCAGCGUCUGCCCUUCCCCCUGUGCCAGCCCUGGGUCGCCCUCUCCCCCGGGCUGUUGCCGCGAUUCCAGCUGGCUGGAGGAGCCCAUCCCCUCGGCGUCUGGCUCGGCCGUGCUGCUGGCCUUCGACCGUCUCUCGGGGACGUGCCCGGUCCCCCGGGCUAAGCAGCCCGCCCCCUUCUCCUCCGCUUCAGAGCCCAGCUCCAGGGUCCAGUCUCCAGCGCCGGCGUGCCCCCGGGUGUGCUCCCCCCCUCCCUCCAGCCAGCGCCACGCAGUGGGUAGAGCUGGCUGUGCCCCCCCACGGCCUUGCUCCUUUGCCCCCUUGCACGUCCCCACACAGCCUUCCACCCUCCGCCUCUCCUCCCCCCUGCAGCCCACCUCCCAUCCCUCCGCCACGUUACCUCAGCCGGGCAGGAGGCCGAGGGGAAACCCCGAGAGCCCUCCAUCCCCUAGAGACGGAGACGGGGCGGGGUGCUGCUCCAGGGCGCCCCCUAGCAACUCAGCCAGUCCCAGCCCCGACGAACUGGAUGGCAUCAAGUGGCCAGACGUCCCCGGCUUGCGUUCCAGGUACGCUGACCGGGCGGGCAGCAUGGGGCCGCCAGGCUCGCCAGAGGAGUACCCCAAAGCGAGAGCGGACUUGGCUCGGGACACGGGACCCCAUCGGGCCAGCUACUCCACCACCGUCAACAUCCAGAUCGGGGGCAGCGGCCGGAUCGCCUCCUUCAGCAACGCUCAGGUCAGCCUCACCCACCCGCUGCUGGCGGCGCCCGGGCAGCACGGCGCUAGGCGGAUCA